AAUUGCUGAGGAAAGUCCACCAACCAAGAAAUAUGUCGUCGUUGGAGGCGGAUGGGGAGGCUGGGGUGCCGCGAA
rnacentral:ribozyme from 1 species